UUUGGCUACGACCUCUGGUGACGAGCUGCCUUUGGUAAUGGGCUUCUGUUUGCUGCGAAGCAACCUGGCGUUAAUGCCAUUGUUGCAAAGUUUAACGUGAAAUUUCCUCCCUUUCUGUCAUGAGAACGCGUAUUUUACAAGUGUGCAGCAUGAUUUCUAGAAUUUACAGUUUUGCACGUGAAUCACUUUAUGUGAUCAUAUUAAUGGCUUUAAAUAUAUAACACCCAUCUCAAGUUUAUGCUUUAAGCUUGGUUUUUUACAGACUACGUAGACGUUAACUGCAUACUCUGGUUGAAAUAAUGAUGUUUUAUGAACAUCUCAGGAGCCUGUUGGUGAGGCACAAAGGCGUUACUGUUAACACGGCUCCUUCGGCGGAUGCCCCAGCACAAGCCGGGGUACAGGCACUGAGCGGGCCGGCUCGCACCCCGGCACUUCGCCAGGCACAAAUUCUAACUCGUUCCAAUUAACCAAAACAGCAGCGAACCGCUCCGUUGCCAACCAUGGCAAUCAGUGAGUCCGACGAGUUCAUGGAAUUUGAAUGUACCAUCUGGAAGCGCCAUACCUGGCCCCUCUCCCAGGUGGGGAAGGAGAAGACCCCGAGGAUGGCUCGGAAGAGGAUGGUGGGCUGGAAGAGCCCGUGCCGUCAGCAGCGAGGUGCUCUGGCUGCAAGCGCUUGGUGGUGGCACACGGAGUUGACAACCCAGCGGCCAGGAGCAAAGCCUCUGACACUGCUGUCCUCACUCAGGGUGCGGAGUCUCAGUCCAAGGCAAAUGAAACCGCCAGCAUAUUCCGUCCACUUCGACUCCAGAACAGCACUGAGAUGGGAUCUCCUGGUCACCUGCGCUGACGGAGCAGUGAGCUUCGCUAUCGGGUCGCAUACCGCGUACUUUGUUCUCCAGGAACUGUGAAUCUUUAACCCCCCCUUUCCUUUUUCCUGAAGAAAGAGCUCCAGCACAGCCCGCUAUUGCUUGUCAGCGGUCAGUGAGGAGUGCUGCCAAUUCAAAACAUUUUCCCUUUGAUGCUGCAGUGAAUGCUGAACUUGUGUGCAAUAACAACUUCUUAAUUAUUUAACUUCUUAAGGAUUUUAAGGCUCUUGAAAUCCAGAACUCUAAAAUGUGGUGUAUUCGUCCCACACUUUCUAUAUAGGAAUCGGUUUUAAUUGUACCAAAUAUAAAUAGCUACAAACAUAGCUUUUACACAUGAAAAAUGUACUGGGGCUGAAGAGGAUUUUGCAGGUGGAUUGACACAAUAAAAAAUAAGGUCAAUUAACAUUUAAUUUUUUUAUAUCAGAAUAAUUGAUACCAUUUUUGUCCUCCCAAUUCUGUUUGUUGUUUUUACUGAAUAACAAAACAUUUCCUUCCUGGCUACUGAAACAUCCAUAGCCUAAGCAAGAACGGUAAAAUAUAGAUCCCAUAUUUCUUUAUUAGACUAAUAGCUUUACAACUUUUGGCAAAAACUUAAUACUAUCUGUUACUUCAGUUGCUUUUUUAGGGUUUCACCUUAAAAUUUCCUGUAUCAUAUUAUCCACAAGAGCAGAGCAGAAGCUUGCAUUUCUUGUUUUAGAAUACUUAUAUUUUUCUUUUUGUCACUGUUUAGAAUGCAGUGGUACUUCAACCACUAUAUUUAAACAUUCAGUAUUAAAAAAAGCUUACAACUAAACUUCCCCUUUUCAGAUGCUCCUAUUACUAUUCUUCAGAUAUUUUCUUGGCAAAAAAAAAAAGUCACUUUCCUGGUUAUUAAAAUAAGUCUCCUAUGAUAUUUUGGACUACAGGCUCUAGGAUUGCUUUUAGAAAGAUGAGAUAUACUAAAAGGAAGGGAUUUCAUAUGAGAUAAGGUGAAGGACUUUGGUUUGGAGAAAUCUAUAACCAGAUUCAAAAUACAUCUUAACUACUACUGAGGUCAAGUAAAAAUUAAAAUCUAGGAUGAUUUUGAAGGGAAGAUAUCUCAUUCUAGUAAACAGAGAAAUAUAUGACAGAUGCACACAAAUUUGCAUCCACAUCUGUAGA